AAUAAUUCGAAAUAGUCUAGCUACCUUUUUUUUUUUUCUAAAAAUUUCUUUUGAAAAUUUUUCUUUCCAGAUGCACGGGCAGCUGCUGAUGUCGACGGUGUUGGGGUUGCACAAUCGGAAAGCGAAGUGGGAGAAACACCACAUUCAUAAAGAUCGCCCGAUGAUGUCUCUAUAGAUAGUGCCACUAUUUCACUAUUAUCUGGAAUUUAAAAAGUACAUACAUAUGUACAUUAUACUACAUCACUCUUCAU